AGAGGGUGCGAGCGUUGUCCGGAAUCACUGGGCGUAAAGGGCGCGUAGGCGGCUUGAUAAGUAGGGGGUGAAAUCUUGCGGCUCAACUGNAAGGGUGGCCUCCUAAACUGUCAGGCUUGAGCACAGUAGAGGCAGGUGGAAUUCCCGGUGUAGCGGUGGAAUGCGUAGAGAUCGGGAAGAACAUCGGUGGCGAAGGCGGCCUGCUGGGCUGUUGCUGACGCUGAGGCGCGACAGCGUGGGGAGCAAACAGGAUUAGAUACCCUGGUAGUCCACGCCGUAAACGAUGGGUACUAGGCGUCGGGGGGAGCGACCCCUUCGGUGCCGUCGCUAACGCAGUAAGUACCCCGCCUGGGGAGUACGGCCGCAAGGCUG
rnacentral:rRNA from 1 species